ACUCCAGUGUUUCAGAGUUUAUUUUUUAAGGGGAGGUCAUUUUGGUCCCCUUAACACUCAGCAAGAGCCCUUGAUUUGAAGCUGUAGACACUACCUUCAGCGAGAAAGCCCCAUGGCAUCGUCAUGCUGGGAACCAGGAGAGCAAGGGGGCCUGGUUGCCCCGUCCCAGCGUGGCAGGGGAGAGGCUGGGAGCUGUCAGCUCCUGGCACGGCAGCCACGGCCUCAUCGCUAGCAGUGAUUGCCAUGUACUGAAUGCUUGGCCCGUUUGAAGUCCUCCAAGAACUCCAUCACUAUUGUCCUUAUUUCACCGAGAAGAUUCGCACCUUGCCCACAGUAGGACGGUGAGUAGAGUGAGAGCCCGAAACACAGGAUGCUCAGAUUCCGAGCCCAGACUUCUGUUUCUCUGGCCAUUGCCACCUCCUUCCAGAAUUUGGCAUUAAAAGGCCAUGUUCCAGUGAUACCAUGAGAAAACCUGAUUUUCUAGAGGAAAUGCAGAAGGAGGACUGCUGCCUUGAGGAAGAGUUACAGAGAGAGAAAGAGAGGGAGAGAAAGAGAGAGAGAGAGAAUGUUCCAUCUGCUGGUUCACUCCCAAGUGGCCACAACACCUGGGGCUAGACCGGGCCAAAGCCAGGAGCCAGGAGCCAGGAACCAGGAGCUUCUUCCAGGGCUCCCACUUGGAUGCAGGAUCCCAAGCACUUGGGCCAUCUUCCACUGCUUUCUCAGGCCAUAGCAGGCAGUUGGAUCAGAAGUGGAGCAGCUGGGACAUAAACCAGUUCCCACAUGGGGUGCUGACAUCGCAGGAGGCAGCUUAACCUGCUAAGCCACAGUGCUGCCCCAAGAUGAGGUAUAUUAAUGCACAGCUUUGCUUGCUUCCUUUCACACAGUCAAGAAUAGGCAUUUUCUAGGCCUGAUCUAGUUUUUGCAGGGAAAUUGCUCAAUAAAAGGGUACUUGAAAAAGUGUGUGCACAAACGGAAUUAAAAGAUGUUUAAUUUGGAACUAAAACUUUUGAAAUACAUAGUUUUUUUUUCAUAAUAUGCACAUUCUGUGACCCUGUAAAGACCCCUCAUAUGCACAGAUUUCAACAUUUCUUGCAAUAGAAUAAACUUACAUUGUAAUCACAUUUUCAGUUAACCUUUUGAAGUAUCCUUGUAGCAAGAUUUAUUAAGCACAAGGAGUAGGAGAUGAAGGGUCCAGAGAAGUUUCUGGAAAUCACUCACCUAUUUCCCCCAGCACUGAGCAUUCUCGGCUCUUCGUCUUCCUUUAAAAUCUCUGUCUAGUUUCUCCCAAAUCACAAGAUAAUUUUGUUGGUGUAACAGGUGUCUGUGCUUCCAUUACUUCACUCUAGAGUUAACAAGGAGAUGGAGAGGAACUUUAAGGUCAUACAUAAACAAACUACAGUCAUGUGUAUCGUAUUUUGUUUUGUUGGUGUCAAGGAGUACAAAAUAAUCAAUUUGCAGGUACUCCAUAUAUUUUUUUUACCCAACUUCAGCUAUCUUAAGGACUGUCAAUGAACUCCCAGAUUGGUGUCCAUAUUACCAGAAAUUUCAGCUGAUGGAUCUGUUUAUAAGGUCACAUUCAUGGAGGGUAGAUAUUCAUAGAAAAAGAAUUCCUCAUUUUCCUUCAGAGUCUGUGAAUUAUAUCCUUAAGUGUGCACUCACAGUCCCAAUUUCUCUUAAUCGAACUUUCGCUCCAAUUCAUGAAAAGAUUCAUUACAACACAUUUCUUUCUGUGGAAAGUGUGCUCAGAGACAUAGACCUGGCAUACCUUUUCUUAAAUAAAAGGGUGAACAAGCAGGGAGUGAAUGUGGAUGGGUGCAGUGACUCUGUAUUCGUUGUGGGACUGUGAAACUCAUCUCUUUCUGAAAAUUGCUAGAACCUCGGCUUGUGUACAACCAUGUGCAUUUUAUGUACAUGUGUGUAGCGUGUAGCAAGGCCUGGAGUCACGAACAAAUGGUUCAGGGAUGUGAGCAGUUUCUGCCAGCACCUGGCCUCGUUUUCUGUGUACAUAGUACAACAGAUACUGCUGAUCUAUUUGACAUCUCUGCCUAAAACUGAGAUUCUGUUAAUUUACUCCAGAUUACCUGCUGGAGACAGAGAAACUGGCUAUUCUGUUACUUCCGGGAGAUCUGAAUUCCAGCGGACUUCCAUAGCAGGUCAAUAACAUCUUGUUUUGUCUUGGCAACAGUUCACGACUCCUCCCUCAAGCUUUGCUAGAGUGUAAGCAAUGACUUGUUUCUGCUAAGGGUUCCUCCACAACUUGGAAGGGAGCUGGCACCUCUUUCCCAGCCACCUUAACCUUUCCUUGGGUAAAACACUCACAUAGGAAUUAAACAUUCAUCACUGGCCACACACACACCAAUCAUGCUGUUUUGCUUUUUUAAAAUUCACUCUUCCCUGGGCUUUUACUUUUUUCUUUUGUUUUGUUUUGUUUUCAGUUGGGAACUGCCCAACCCCACUUUGCUAAGCUGAAACUAACCUUUCCACUCGGCAAAAAGGGCAUCUUUGCCUAAGCAGAUGGUGAUGUGCACUGGUGUGUGCAAUUUAUUUCCAUGUCACUGAGCAUUACAGACUUUGCAGAAGCAGUUUCAAAUAUAUUUUAAAAUAAAAUAUGAUGCAUUGGGUUAUGGUCUGUGUGGAUUAUUUUAAAGGCAGGUGUGCCCCUCUCUUCUUGCUUUAAGAGCUAACGGUAGGUAAGCAACCCAAGUCGUACUUGCAAAGUCAUGAUUCACCAUUUGGGAAGGGAUAGGGGCUAAAAUUUAGCUUCACCAGCAUAACAGCUUCAAUCAACUUCCAGCCAUGUCGCUGACAUCAAUCAGUGAAAUAGAAAGGCAUGGUGACAGAACCUUCUCCUAAGAAAACGUUCGUUACCCAUCACAUCAUAUGAUAUAUUAGAAAAGAAAUUGUCAAAAGCUUCACCAGAUGAAAUCAACAUCUGAGAUUUCUGGGCCUGUCUCUGCCAUUACUCAGACACUUAAUUUCUCUGGACUUUAGUUCUAGCACAUAAAAUACAGGGUUCCAUUUAUAUUAGCACUUCGGAGAAUAAACUUCUCAAAAACUCUUUCUUCAAGAUCCACAGUGAAGAAUUCCAUGAUCAAAUAAGUUCAGAAAGCAUAAACACUGUCACAUUAAGGAGUUCAUGGAUAAUUUUACAAAAGUCCAGCAGCAGAGAAAACAUACAAUGCUGUUUAAUUCUGUGUUUCUAAAUUUUCUUUGACCAUGAAAUAUUUUACCUAUUAAAUGCUGAGAUAUAGCUUGAUGAUAACUUUUACAAUUUUUUUUUUUUUGACAGGCAGAGUGGACAGUGAGAGAGAGAGACAGAGAGAAAGGUCUUCCUUUGCCGUUGGUUCACCCUCCAAUGGCCGCCGCGGCCGGCGCGUUGCGGCCAGCGCACCGCGCUGAUCCGACGGCAGGAGCCAGGAGCCAGGUGCUUUUCCUGGUCUCCCAUGGGGUGCAGGGCCCAAGCACCUGGGCCAUCCUCCACUGCACUCCCUGGCCACAGCAGAGGGCUGGCCUGGAAGAGGGGCAACCGGGACAGAAUCCGGCGCCCCGACCGGGACUAGA